rnacentral:rRNA from 1 species
UACGUAGGGUACGAGCGUUAAUCGGAAUUACUGGGCGUAAAGCGUGCGCAGGCGGCUUCGCAAGUCAGACGUGAAAUCCCCGGGCUUAACCUGGGAAUGGCGUUUGAAACUACGGAGCUGGAGUGUGGCAGAGGGAGGUAGAAUUCCACGUGUAGCGGUGAAAUGCGUAGAUAUGUGGAGGAAUACCGAUGGCGAAGGCAGCCUCCUGGGCCAACACUGACGCUCAUGCACGAAAGCGUGGGGAGCAAACAGG